rnacentral:rRNA from 1 species
UACAGAGGGUGCGAGCGUUAAUCGGAAUUACUGGGCGUAAAGCGCGCGUAGGCGGCUUUGCAAGUCGGGUGUGAAAUCCCCAGGCUUAACCUGGGAACUGCAUUCGAGACUGCAUUGCUAGAGUAUGGGAGAGGUGAGUGGAAUUCCGAGUGUAGAGGUGAAAUUCGUAGAUAUUCGGAAGAACACCAGUGGCGAAGGCGACUCACUGGACAUGUAUUGACGCUGAGGUGCGAAAGCGUGGGGAGCAAACAGG